rfam:Glycine soja cultivar W05 scaffold3883_6, whole genome shotgun sequence.
AAGUAUCAUGUCAUCACACCUUGUCACGGACACUCCAUUGUCACAUCAUCACUUUCAAUGAUGUGACAAUGUUGCGUCAGUGAUUGAACAUGAUGACGUGACACUGCAU